UACGUAGGGUGCAAGCGUUGUCCGGAAUUAUUGGGCGUAAAGAGCUUGUAGGCGGUUUGUCGCGUCUGCUGUGAAAUUUCGGGGCUCAACCCCGAACUUGCAGUGGGUACGGGCAGACUAGAGUGUGGUAGGGGAGACUGGAAUUCAUGGUGUAGCAGUGAAAUGCGUAGAGAUCAUGAGGAAGACCAGUGGCGAAGGCGGGUCUCUGGACAGUUCCUGACACUGAGGCACGAAGGCCAGGGGAGCAAACGGG
rnacentral:rRNA from 1 species